AUUUACUACAGUAUUUACCUAUAUCACACCGUUUACUAUAGUAUUUACCUAUAUCACACCAUUUACUAAAGCAUUUCCGUAUAACAUAACAUUUACUACAGUAUUUACCUAUAUCAUACCAUACUACAGUAUUUACCUAUAUCAUACCAUGUAAUACAGUAUUUACCAAUAUCAUACCAGACUAUAGUAUUUACCUAAAUCAUACCAUACACUACAGUAUAUACCUAUAUCAUACCAUUUACUACAGUUUUUACCUAUAUCAUACCAUUUACUACAGUAUUUACCUAUAUCAUAUCAUUUACUACGGUAUUUACCUAUACCAUACCAUUUACUACAGUAUUUACCUAUAUCA